UGGGGAAUAUUGCACAAUGGAGGGAACUCUUAUGCAGCGACGCCGCGUGAACGAAGAAGGCUUUCGAGUCGUAAAGUUCUUUUAUAUGGGAAGAUAAUGACGGUACCAUAAGAAAAAGCCCCGGCUAACUACGUGCCAGCAGCCGCGGUAAUACGUAGGGGGCUAGCGUUGUCCGGAAUCACUGGGCGUAAAGGGUUCGCAGGCGGAAAUGCAAGUCAGGUGUAAAAGGCAGUAGCUUAACUACUGUAAGCAUUUGAAACUGCAUAUCUUGAGAAGAGUAGAGGUAAGUGGAAUUUUUAGUGUAGCGGUGAAAUGCGUAGAUAUUAAAAAGAAUACCGGUGGCGAAGGCGACUUACUGGGCUCAUUCUGACGCUGAGGAACGAAAGCGUGGGUAGCAAACAGG
rnacentral:rRNA from 2 species